AUGGUCAUCAUUCCCAAAGCAUGUAAAAUUAUAUGGUUUUGUUCGUUGCAUAGGAAGAUGAAAAAUGACUUGAGAACAAUGCUUCAAGGAGUUAUUGGUAAAUCACGUGGUCAACUGGUUCAAAUUUUGUAUCCAAAGUGUAACCAGCAGCUAGAUUCAUGGGAAUGUGGCUUCUAUGUGAUGUGUUGGAUUAAGACCAUCAUUCGAGCUGUCAUUACAGAUGACUGGAAUGAG